rnacentral:rRNA from 1 species
GUUAUAUGGUCAAGUGAAGAAGCGCAUACGGUGGAUGCCUUGGCAGUCAGAGGCGAUGAAAGACGUGAUAGCCUGCGAUAAGCUUCGGUGAGGUGGCAAAUGACCUGUGACCCGGAGAUCUCUGAAUGGGGGAACCCACCUAGCAUAAGCUAGGUAUCUUAACCUGAAUCCAUAGGGUUAAGAGGCGAACCAGGGGAACUGAAACAUCUAAGUACCCUGAGGAAAAGAAAUCAACCGAGAUUCCCUUAGUAGUGGCGAGCGAACGGGGACCAGCCCUUAAGUUGAUUUGAGAGUAGCGGAACGCUCUGGAAAGUGCGGCCAUAGUGGGUGAUAGCCCUGUACGCGAAACGCUCUUAUCAAUGAAAUCGAGUAGGACGGGGCACGAGAAA